GGAAUACUUACAAAUUUUAUGUGAUAAAAUUAAGCUUAAGUCGUUUUGGUGGUUGAAAGUGGCAUACCCAUCUUUUUAUUUCAACUAUCACAACCAAUGGCUUAGUCAUCUUUAGUGUCUUGGUUAUGUUUCUUAGGCUACAAUUUUAGUUUUUAUGUUGUUUUGUUGAGAACCAUUUCAUUGUUUAGCUUUUCAUACUCGUUUCUAGCACAUAAAUAUAUUCCAUUUUAAUUUUUUUUUAUUUUAAAAAAAGCUCAAUAUCAUGGUAACUAGUUCAAGAAAUUACCACUCUCGAAAUGUUAUGAACAAUCAUAUUUGUAUGUCUUCUAAUUAAUUUAACCUCAAAACUUAAAUGUGUCGACAUAAAACGAUACUAGAAACAAUAACAUUAAAGUAAGCCUCAAUCAUUAAUGUAAACAACAUUUAGUAAAAUUUGAGAAUCACUCUCAAACACAACACGAGCAACGUCUUUACUGGACACUAUCCUCAUCAACUCAAAUAAUGCAACAAACUUCCCUUCGAUGAGAGAGUGUCUAGCACAUUUUCACGACGUCUCAGCCAACAUAAACUAUCCAUGAUGAUUACCGAAAUAAUUAGGAGUUGUUGUUUGAUUUUGUGUUGAUAAAAAUUGAUUUGGAGUAAUUGAUUAUCAUGGAACUGACAUUUAGAGCAACUCGUAGCCGUCGGAAUUGGAAGUUGGUGUUUGGAUCGAUUAAUUUAUGAAGGAGGCUAGGUUUCAAAUUUGAAGAUGCAAACGAGGUAGAUUUUGGGUCCACUUGCUUUAGUUUUCCAACAAUGGAAAUGGAAAGGAAAGAGGGGAGGAUAUUACGACGAUGUGCAUACAUAGUAAGAGUAUAUUAUACUCAAAUAAAGGCACAAACAAGAAAUCUUUAUAUAUGGUGUAUAUGACUUUUAUAGUCUACCGUAACUUGGCUUCAAAUGUUCUUAGCGUUACGUUAACUACAUUGAUCUUUUGAUUCCUCUAAAAAAAACGUUGAUCUUUUGAUAUUCUAACAUGUUAAAAUAUAAUUAUGGUUAAGUUUGUUUAAUU
rnacentral:lncRNA from 1 species